rnacentral:rRNA from 2 species
GUAGCGCCUCGUGAAUUCAUCUCCGGGGGUAGAGCACUGUUUCGGCUAGGGGGCCAUCCCGGCUUACCAACCCGAUGCAAACUGCGAAUACCGGAGAAUGUUAUCACGGGAGACACACGGCGGGUGCUAACGUCCGUCGUGAAGAGGGAAACAACCCAGACCGCCAGCUAAGGUCCCAAAGUCAUGGUUAAGUGGGAAACGAUGUGGGAAGGCCCAGACAGCCAGGAUGUUGGCUUAGAAGCAGCCAUCAUUUAAAGAAAGCGUAAUAGCUCACUGGUCGAGUCGGCCUGCGCGGAAGAUGUAACGGGGCUAAACCAU